AAGUCGAACGAGACCUUCGGGUCUAGUGGCGCACGGGUGCGUAACACGUGGGAAUCUGCCCAGAGGUUCGGAAUAACACAGAGAAAUUUGUGCUAAUACCGGAUGAUGUCGCAAGACCAAAGAUUUAUCGCCUUUGGAGGAGCCCGCGUAGGAUUAGGUAGUUGGUGGGGUAAAGGCUCACCAAGCCGACGAUCCUUAGCUGGUCUGAGAGGAUGAUCAGCCACACUGGGACUGAGACACGGCCCAG
rnacentral:rRNA from 1 species